rnacentral:rRNA from 1 species
CCUACGGGGGGCAGCAGUGGGGAAUAUUGGACAAUGGGGGGAACCCUGAUCCAGCCAUGCCGCGUGUGUGAAGAAGGCCCUCGGGUUGUAAAGCACUUUCAGUGAGGAAGAACGCCUGGUGGUUAAUACCCAUCAGGAAAGACAUCACUCACAGAGGAAGCACCGGCUAACUCCGUGCCAGCAGCCGCGGUAAUACGGAGGGUGCGAGCGUUAAUCGGAAUUACUGGGCGUAAAGCGCGCGUAGGUGGCUUGAUAAGCCGGUUGUGAAAGCCCCGGGCUCAACCUGGGAACGGCAUCCGGAACUGUCAAGCUAGAGUGCAGGAGAGGAAGGUAGAAUUCCCGGUGUAGCGGUGAAAUGCGUAGAGAUCGGGAGGAAUACCAGUGGCGAAGGCGGCCUUCUGGACUGACACUGACACUGAGGUGCGAAAGCGUGGGUAGCAAACAGGAUUAGAUACCCUAGUAGUC